GACGGAGUCAACCCUGACUGACGGAGUCAACCCUGACUGACGGAGUCAACCCUGACUGACAGAGUCAACCUGGUGGAGUCAUAUUCUCACAGUCUUCAGUCAAACUGACAACAGGAUAUCAUGAAACUGAACUACUCUUCCAGUGUGCAGGAGAGAAAGAGAGAAAGAGAGUAAGAGAGAAAGAGAGUAAGAGGGAGAGAGUAAGAGGGAGAGAGGCCAUAAGAGAGAGGCAGUAAGAACAGAGAGAGAGGAGAGAGAGCGAGCAGCAGCAGCAGUAAGGAGAGAGUGAGAGAAAGAGUGCUCUUCAUGACAGAUUUUAAUUGUAGCCAGAUGUUAAAUCUCUGUGGUCGGAAGUUCUUAACUGACAGCCUGACACCCUCUCUACCCAGCACCUGUCCACAGAGAGGAGAGAGGAGGGGAAGGAGAGAGGAGGGGAAGGAGAGAGGAGAGGGGAAGGGGAGAGGAGGGAAGGAGAGAGGAGGGGAAGGGGAGAGGAGGGGAAGGGGGAGGAGGGGAAGGGGAGAGGAGGGGAAGGGGAGAGAGGAGGGGAAGGGAAGGGAGGAGGGGAAGGGGAGAGGAGGGGAAGGGGGAAGGGGAGAGGGGAAGGGGAGAGAGGAGGCGAGGGGAAGGGGAGAGGAUGACUAUCCCGCCACCAAAAAAUACUUAUUUACCAGCCAACACUUCAAUCUGACACUUUCUCCCACUAGAGGAGAGGAAGGGGAGGGGAAGGAGAGAGGAGGGGAAGGGGAGAGGUAGAGGAGAGAGGAAGGGGAGAGGAAAGGAGGGGGCAGAGGGGGAGAGGAAAGGAGGAAUGCAGUGCAUUUCAUGUCUAAUUUCCUUGACCUCCAAACCAUCAACAGAACCAGUGAUCGUCUCCAGGACCAUAAAUAGAAAUGUGUUGUUGUAGUGACUCUUCUAGACACUGUCUGCUUUAUGAGAGCUGGCUGCCACACCAGAGGACAGCAGUGAUCAGGGAUGACAGUGUGUGUUGGUGUUUACGUAUUCAGGGUGAUAAAUGAUCACUGAUCUGAUAUAUCCAGAAUAUAUGCCAAGAGGCGGAACAAAUAUUAAUAUAAACGCUGAAAUAGAGUGCGGAACACGGCUGAUUAAGUAGGGCGAAUAUUCAUAUACUGAGACAUGUCCUUCUGUCCCCUGGGAGAAACCUUCCUAACCUAGACAUGUCCUUCUGUCCCCUGGGAGAAAC
ensembl:lncRNA